rnacentral:rRNA from 1 species
GAUGAACGCUGGCGGCGUGCCUAAUACAUGCCAGUCGAGCGAACAGACGAGGAGCUUGCUCCUCUGACGUUAGCGGCGGACGGGUGAGUAACACGUGGAUAACCUACCUAUAAGACUGGGAUAACUUCGGGAAACCGGAGCUAAUACCGGAUAAUAUAUUGAACCGCAUGGUUCAAUAGUGAAAGACGGUUUUGCUGUCACUUAUAGAUGGAUCCGCGCCGCAUUAGCUAGUUGGUAAGGUAACGGCUUACCAAGGCAACGAUGCGUAGCCGACCUGAGAGGGUGAUCGGCCACACUGGAACUGAGACACGGUCCAGACUCCGACGGGAGGCAGCAGUAGGGAAUCUUCCGCAAUGGGCGAAAGCCUGACGGAGCAACGCCGCGUGAGUGAUGAAGGUCUUCGGAUCGUAAAACUCUGUUAUUAGGGAAGAACAAAUGUGUAAGUAACUAUGCACGUCUUGACGGUACCUAAUCAGAAAGCCACGGCUAACUACGUG